UGGUAAUGAUGGCAGAGAGGUCACACCCGUUCCCAUACCGAACACGGAAGUUAUAAGCUCUCUAGCGCCGAUGGUAGUUGGGACCUUGUCCCUGUGAGAGUAGGACGUUGCCAGGCA
rnacentral:rRNA from 1 species